AUGAUUUCUGUAGAAGUUGUGACCAUUGUGGCAGUUCAAGUGAGCAAGAAGGUAUUUGGGGAAGGGACAAAGCUCAUUGUAACUUCCCCCGGCAUGGUUGUGGAUUCCUGUGAUGUCAGAACUCCAAAAGUUCUAAGGUUUUUGAUACGGGUCGAAUCACUGUGGACACUCAGAAAAAUCUUUGGUGAAGGAACAAAACUUAUUGUCACAGAUAAAAGCUUUAACAACGCUAUUUCUCCCAAGCCCACUGUUUUUCUUCCUUCAGUGGCUGAAACAAAUCUCCACAAGGCUGGGACAUAUCUUUGUCUCCUGGAGAAUUUUUCCCCUGAUGUGAUUAAGGUAUAUUGGAAAAAAACAGAUGACGAUAGGAUUCUAGAAGCCCAGCAGGGAGAUACCAUGAAGACUAAUGACACCUACAUGAAGUUUAGCUGGUUAACUGUGACUGGAGAUGCCAUGACUAAAGAACACAAAUGUAUCGUCAAACACGAGGCUAAUGGAGGAGUUGAUCAAGAGAUUUUCUUUGAUCCCAUAAAGGAAGUUGUCACUAUUGAUUCUGAAGUUUGUUUCAAACAUGAGAUGGGUUUGCUGCAGCUGCAGCUCACCAGCACCUCUGCCUACUACACCUACCUCUUGCUGCUGCUCAAGAGCACCCUACACGGGGGCCUCAUUGUCUUCUGUCUGCUUAGAGGGUCCCCUCUCUGCUGUGAUGCGAAGAGCACCUGACAGACCCGGGCCCAUGGUGUCUCUACCGUCUUCAGCAGCAUCUUCGGAAGGUCUGCUGGGCUUGCUGAGCUCGGGCUCCUGAAGGCCACGCCACAUGCACAUUUUUCUGUCAUUACCCCAUAAAGGCUUCCCAACCAGUGGGCAAACUGCACGACUUCACGCUGCCCCAGGAUGCAGCCCAAGGAUGCCACCUAAGCCCCGUCUCUCCAUGGUUCCCACAGCCCC